rnacentral:rRNA from 1 species
UACGUAGGGUGCGAGCGUUGUCCGGAAUUACUGGGCGUAAAGAGCUCGUAGGUGGUUUGUCGCGUUGUUCGUGAAAACUCACAGCUUAACUGUGGGCGUGCGGGCGAUACGGGCAGACUGGAGUACUGCAGGGGAGACUGGAAUUCCUGGUGUAGCGGUGGAAUGCGCAGAUAUCAGGAGGAACACCGGUGGCGAAGGCGGGUCUCUGGGCCGUUACUGGACGCUGGAGGAGCGAAAGCCGUGGGGAGCGAACAGG